UUUAUAAGUUUUCAAUGAUUAUCAUGAGUUAUCAAUUGCAUUUUUAAAGUAUUGUCACUCACUAGGAUUUAUAGCUUUCCCUUCCAAAAUGUUUUACCCACUUUCCAGGUAGAGAUCUAGUUUUCGGUGCUUGAUAGACUGUCUUAAUCUGCUGAAUCUUCUAUAUCGAUUGCCAGUACGUGGUUAGAGCUGUACAUAGAGUCUGUUGUGUUAUGAUGUAUACAUCUUUGUAUGAUAUAGAUACUUUAUAGUUUGGGUAAGUUUAGAAGUUGCGGUUGUGUAAACCUUUGUGGGUUAUGUUUUGGUUAAGGUGUCUCCAGGUUUACUUGCGCAAUCAGUUAUUUCCAGGCUACACUUCAUGUAUAUAUGUUUAUGAUUAGUCUAGGUUCCGCUGUAUUAUGUUGCAUGUAUAAUAGUUUUUAUACUAGAUUAGCAAGUUUAUCACGUUAAUGAAUUCAGCAAAGUCGACAGAUAUCGAUAGAGAAAAGUGUUGUCGGUUGGCUUCACACUGUCUUUCGGUCUAAGCUAGCAGGUAGUCUUAAAGGGGUGUGACAGUAGCAGAUCUGGUGGCGUUGUGUGUGGUUGCAGAUCUGGAAAUAUAGACCACUCACUUCAAAGUGUAAAGAAUCCAUUUGAAAUCAAGCUCCAAAUUUCAUACAAGUGACAAUACCUGAGAUCUCAACAAGAGGCAAGGAGUAGAGCUCACAGAAUUAGACAGCAGGAAGUAGUUAAUAUCUACAAAUUUGUUACAAGCAGUAGUAUUGAAGAAGAUAUCUUGGAGCGAGCAAAGAAAAGAUGGUAGCUUGCCAGAGUUUGGGGUCUCUCAGAAAUGGAGACUCUGUUUUGGGUAUUGAUAUGAAGAAUGAUUGAAGUCAUAUCUUGUUGAAAGCUAAGCGAUUGUGUCGAUGGCCAGACGAUCGUUGAAGGUUUGAAGACUGAUAAGGCGUUUAGGAUUUCUAAUUAUUUAAGUCUUGUAUUAGGAUCUUUUUUCAUGUACUGUUGUAGAAUGUAUGUAU